rnacentral:lncRNA from 1 species
ACUGAUAUGUGUGCUAUUGGUAUGUAUAAAUUUCACAGAACUUAUUUUUGGAAAUAAGAUAGAUGAGAUGUAAGGAGUAAGUUCAAAGAGUUAUUUUUUUUUUUAAUCUCAUCGGGGGGCAAGGAUUUAAAAACACAGUUGCUCCAGUUAACACUUAAAAGCAGGAAGUGCUUGGAUCUCUUUGAUGUGUAAAUCACUAUUUUGUGUCAAGCAUUCAUUUAAAAUUUUUCAUGUGCUCUUCUUUUUAAAU